rnacentral:rRNA from 1 species
GACGAACGCCGGCGGCGUGCCUAAUACAUGCAAGUAGAACGCUGAAGGAGGAGCUUGCUUCUCCGGAUGAGUUGCGAACGGGUGAGUAACGCGUAGGUAACCUGCCUGGUAGCGGGGGAUAACUAUUGGAAACGAUAGCUAAUACCGCAUAACAGUAGAUGUUGCAUGACAUUUGCUUAAAAGGUGCAAUUGCAUCACUACCAGAUGGACCUGCGUUGUAUUAGCUAGUUGGUGAGGUAACGGCUCACCAAGGCGACGAUACAUAGCCGACCUGAGAGGGUGAUCGGCCACACUGGGACUGAGACACGGCCCAGACUCCUACGGGAGGCAGCAGUAGGGAAUCUUCGGCAAUGGACGGAAGUCUGACCGAGCAACGCCGCGUGAGUGAAGAAGGUUGUCGGAUCGUAAAGCUCUGUUGUAAGAGAAGAACGAGUGUGAGAGUGGAAAGUUCACACUGUGACGGUAUCUUACCAGAAAGGGACGGCUAACUACGUG